rnacentral:lncRNA from 1 species
AAGAAGGGAGGAAACGCGAAGCCCAGGCGAGUAGAACGCAAAAUUUGCAACAAAGGAUCACCGCUGGUCACCCGAGCGACAGAUCUAGCGCCCGGGUGACGGCCACUUGACGCCUGGGCGAGAAAAAUUGUGCUCAAGCCCAACAUGACCCUUGAUUAACGCUUGGGCGACCCCUAUUCGACGCUUGGGCGUGAAUUGACCUGGAUGGGGCCCUGUUUCUGCUCUGAUUUGAUUCUUUUGGACCGGGC